GCAAAGAGUUGCUAAUUGUGCACAUGUGAGGUUUGAGAUCACAUUCACAUGCGAAUUGCUAACUUACUUGCAACACGUUUGGUUGGCAUGAAUAGCCAAACUAUUCUUGGAUGAUUCGGUGAUAAGCAGCUAUUCAUUAGUUUGGUUCACCGAAUCCUCCAUUCGACAGAAUUUCAUUCAUCUCCCAUUUCGCCUCCUCCCGUAAUAGCCAUUCCCCACCUGAUCUAAAGAAUAGCAAUACAGAGCCUCCACCGAAUAAGAAAAAAAAACAUAACCUCCCAUUCUUUCCCUUUGCCACUUUCCCUCAGCAAACACCUUAAGCCACUACACCCCAACCCUGUCUCCUAGUUCUCGUUUAGCUAUUCUCAUCCCACGACCAUCAUCGACAGAGAUCUCGACAUUGUAAAAAGCUUUCCCAAAUUUGAGACAACUAAGGCUCACAUGCUCAAACUUGUGAUACUUUGGAGGGCAACAGUGGUGGUCAAUCAUGUAUGCUCGGCCCAUCAGAAGACAAUAUCAUGGACACUGUGGGAGUCAUUUAUGUUGACACUGAAGGAGAUAUAGCAUAGAAGCCUCCAGCAGUGGUAUUGCACUGAAGGUUCCAGGAAAUCCUCCAAAACUGAAAGCUAUAGAAAUUGCAACUGCGUACUCAUCCUUGUCUUUUGGGAUAGGAUAUUUUGGAAGUGGCAUGGAAAGGCCUAAGGUUUCUAUUCUUAGGAGAAGUAAACAGCAGAAUAGAAAUGGAAUCGAUCAUUUUGAAGCUCGAGUUGAUGUUUCUACAUGUCUGAUUUUUGUUUAACCUAUUUUUUCAAGGAUAAAUUAUCAUAUCAAAUCAAAUCUCUCCAAUUUACUUAGUUUAUUUGGGAGUAUAUGUAGUACUAUAAAAGAAACCUAUCCCCUUCGAGAUUGCCAUUUAAUGGCUAAUAUUGAUGAAUAAAAGUUAAAAGUGAUCAAA